rnacentral:tRNA from 1 species
GCCGACGUGGCGGAAUUGGCAGACGCGCUAGACUCAAAAUCUUGUGACCUUACGGUCGUGUGGGUUCGACCCCCUCCGUCGGCACCA